rnacentral:tRNA from 1 species
GGCGGCGUAGCUCAGUUGGUUAGAGCACAGGACUCAUAAGCCUGGGGUCACUGGUUCAAGUCCAGUCGUCGCUACCA